UACGUAGGGGGCAAGCGUUGUCCGGAAUCAUUGGGCGUAAAGAGCGUGUAGGCGGCCCGAUAAGUCCGCCGUGAAAGUCCAGGGCUCAACCCUGGGAUGCCGGUGGAAACUGUCGGGCUAGAGUCCGGAAGAGGCGAGUGGAAUUCCUGGUGUAGCGGUGAAAUGCGUAGAGAUUAUGAGGAAGACCAGUGGCGAAGGCGGGUCUCUGGACAGUUCCUGACACUGAGGCACGAAGGCCAGGGGAGCAAACGGG
rnacentral:rRNA from 1 species